UAUAAACUCAUCACUACACAAGAGGUUAUGAAGGGGCUGUUGGCUAAGAAACAAGCAAAGCAGAAGAAAAACCAGCCAGCGCCAGUAGGGAAGCCAGAGAGGAGAGAGAUACAGCAUUCAGGGCUGGAUAUUGCAGUAAAAAGAUCUGACGUGGAGAAGGAUUAUCAGGCCACCAAAAAUGAAACAAACAGCCCAAGAACAGCAACAGCUACCAACUCUGCCAGUGCUGCAGCUAGAUCAAGAACAUGGCAACCCUCACUUCAAAGCAUCUCAGAGGCUACCAGCUAAUCAUGUUUCUCAUCUUCCUGCCAUGCUUACAUGAGGAACAGAUCAGCUCACCUGUACACAAAUCCAGCCCUUUAUUUUGAACCUGCCAAAUUUACUAUACAUAUAGAUCUUCCAUGGAGGCACCUGGGUAGGUUUAUGGCAGAGGGAAGUGAAUCUCUGGUCCCUUCGAGUGCAGAUUUGGGUAAUUCAAAGCUGUGUAGCAAAAGGGUGGUAUCUUAAACAUAGUUUUUAGUAAAUGUUCUUUUGAAAUGAAAUUAGA
rnacentral:misc_RNA from 1 species